rnacentral:lncRNA from 1 species
AAAAUAAUUGCAAAGAAAAAUGGGUUCUCAUAAAUGGAGUGCAUUAUGCAAUGAUUCACUUCAUUUUUGAUAAAUUUUUUUAAUCCUUUUUUUUAUCAGCAGCGAUUCGAAGCCAUCAUGACAUCACUCGCGCGCCGAACGGCGAACGUGUCGCGCUGCGCCAGCAGUCGAUGGGGUGGUGAUGUGACUGGGUGUGUGAAGAGUGUAGAGGCUUUGAACCCAUUUUUUUCGGGAAUGCUUGAGAGGUGCGUCGUAUUGCUUUACCAUGGUUUUGUGGGAGGGUUGUACUACAAAAUACGUAAAAAUCAGAGUGGGCCAUGGUUGGCACUCCCCUGGU